rnacentral:rRNA from 1 species
AUGAACUUUAUGUAUUGUAUUAAUUUGGUGUUUUCGGUGCUGUGUAUUGAAGAUGAGCCGGCUAUUAAUUUGGUGUACGAUGACCGAUGCUCUCCCGAGUUCAUUAAUGGCGUGCGUACUUUUCUGCUUGCGGCUGAGGCAAACAAGCGGGUGGAUGGUUUUAUGCCUUGUCCAUGUGCUGGCUGUAAGAAUGGUCACAAUUACUCUACGUAUAGAACCAUUCACGUCCACCUGUUUGAGUCUGGUUUCAUGCCCCACUAUAAUGUUUGGACCAAGCAUGGAGAAAGAGGGGUUAUUAUGGAAGACAAUGAAGAAGAAGAGGACGACGACAGCUAUCCUGGCCAUGGGUUCCCUGAAUACGAUGAUACAACAAUGAGGGAAGAAGUUGAACCGGUAAUGCGGGAAGAAGCUGAGCCGACAAUGCGGGAAGAAGCUGAAGAAGAGGCAUCGGAUGAGCCCGUUGAUGAUCUAGGUCGGGCCAUUGCCGAUGCAAAGAGAAACUGCGCAAGUGAUUUGGAGAAGAAGAAGUUGCAGCGCAUGUUAGAGGAUCACAAAAAAUUGUUGUACCCGAAUUGCGUAGGUGACAAGAAAAAGCUGGGCACCACACUGGAAUUGCUACAAUGGAAGGCAGAGAAUGGUGUAUCUGACAAGGGAUUUGGAAAGUUGCUUGUAAUGAUAAAGAAUAUGCUUCCAAAGGACAAUGAAUUGCUCGAGAGUACGUACGAAGCAAAGAAGGCCGUCUGCCCUCUAGGGUUAGAGGUGCAGAAGAUACAUGCAUGCCCUAAUGAUUGCAUCCUCUACCGCGGUGAGUACGAGGAUUAA